UAUGGGCUGGCUCACCACUGCGGGAUGGUGGGGAAAGGCUGGAAGUUAGAAAUUCACUGCAGAGGGAAUUUCAGACUUCUUCCCCCUCCCUUCCGGGACUGCAGGAAAUCUGCACUGCAAAACACCUCAACUGAGAUAGCGUCAGCUCAGCAGAACUGCAGGAGACCACAGAACUUUUUUGCUGAUUGCUCUGCCGAAGUGUCACUUCUCCCGGGCCCCAAAGGCCUCUCCGGGACCCCCAGGAGCGCACUGACAGAGCUCUCCCCAGGCAGGGCAGGUCACGGCAGCAGCACACAGCCGAACAGACCUAGCACGGUUCACGGGGAUGAACCCUAACCUCAGGCUGAGUGAAGGAACAGCUGACGGAGGUGCUACGCAGUCAGAGAAGCCAAGUGAGGGUGUACGUGUUCUGCAGAUGUCGUCAGAACAGAGCACAGCCUUCAACACUGCUCCCCUGCAUCACCUCACAAGGUACCUUCACAACACUGAAGACUUAUCUUGCAUGCAUUAACCAUAGCUAAGUGCCCUCUUCUUCUGGAAUUUAACCCUUUAUGAGAACUAGUCUCUCUUUAUCAUAAUUUCCUCUGAAUUAGCUAUUUUAAAGCCAUUCCAAACCUGCAAGGACUAGAGACGCCCAAAAUACCCAAGGGAAACACAUCUAAAUCUCCCCAUCACAAACAUUACAGCACAGCUACACACUAAUUAAUAAUGCAAUAUACAUUAGUCAAUGAGCGCGAAUCAGGAACAAUUUAUUUUACACUGCUGUAAGCACCAGAAACCAAUUAAAAUGUUAUCUGUGAAAUAUGGGUCACAUCAAAGCAGUAUUUGUCAAACAGAGGUCAUAUUUUAGCACUUGAAUGCCUAGCCUCAAGGUCACAGGACACAAAGCACAUUUUUAAUUAGCAAUUAAUGUUACCAAACUGCUGUUUCUCGUUUAACAGCUGUGUUUGUGCACGCUGAUGCAGCCAGGCCUUGGAGACAAGUCAUAAGCUAUUACAGAGAGGUAUAGUCAGGAGCUGGUGGGGGUUCAGAAUGGUCUCUCCUGACGGGUAACAGACUCAUCUGAGGAAAGCAAGUGCUGGUAUGGAUCGUACAUAAGCACCACUGCUCUUUGGAUACAUAACACAGAAUUCAGUUUAAUAUUUCUCAAGUAAAAACACAAAUCCCUAAAGGAAGAUUUCUGAAAGAGCUGGCUGCUUUCUCCUAAUCAGUGCAUUAACAAAAAGCAGCCACUCAUAAAACUUCCCUGAUCUGCCCACAGCAUCCCAUACGCUGCGCUCAGCACCCAGGAGAUCUCUCAGCAGCGUAUGUCAGGUAUCUCUGCCAUGCAGUGCAUAAUGUAAAUCAUAGAUCUUGUAAAUGCUAGUUACAGCUAUGCCCUACUGCAGGGAAAUUGUGAUAUGUUUGGAAGAACACUGAAUCUCCAGCCUUACGUGAAUUCUGGGAGAGUUUUUAGGGGUGCAAUCACCUUCCAUUUGGCAUAUGCUUCUCUGGGUAGCAUCAGUAGGGCAAAUUCUCCUAUCCAUCUUCAUCUGGAUAUUCUCCCAUAAGGCUGUGACAGCAAUCUGCCUACAGCAGCCAGACUGGGUCUCUCUGCCAAU
ensembl:lncRNA